UAGGGAAUAUUAGAAAUGGACGAAAGUCUGAUCUAGCAACACCGCGUGUGCGAAGAAGGCCUUCGGGUUGUAAAGCACUUUUUGGAAGGAUUAGGAAGGAAUGUACUUCCAGAAUAAGUCUCGGCUAACUACGUGCCAGCAGCCGCGGUAAUACGUAGGAGGCAAACGUUAUCCGGAUUUACUGGGCGUAAAGCGCGUGUAGGUGGUUCUGUAAGUAGGGCGUGAAAGCUCCUGGCUCAACUGGGAGAGGUCGUUCUAAACUGCCGGACUAGAGGAUGGUAGAGGGAGGUGGAAUUCCGGGUGUAGUGGUGAAAUGCGUAGAUAUCCGGAGGAACACCGGUGGCGAAAGCGGCCUCCUGGACCACUUCUGACGCUAAGACGCGAAAGCUAGGGUAGCAAACG
rnacentral:rRNA from 1 species